UACGUAGGGUGCGAGCGUUGUCCGGAAUUACUGGGCGUAAAGAGCUCGUAGGUGGUUUGUCGCGUUGUCCGUGAAAACUCACAACUCAAUUGUGGGCGUGCGGGCGAUACGGGCAGACUGGAGUACUGCAGGGGAGACUGGAAUUCCUGGUGUAGCGGUGGAAUGCGCAGAUAUCAGGAGGAACACCGGUGGCGAAAGCGGGUCUCUGGGCAGUAACUGACGCUGAGGAGCGAAAGCGUGGGGAGCGAACAGG
rnacentral:rRNA from 1 species